UACAGAGGAGCCAAGCGUUGUCCGGAUUGACUGGGCGUAAAGCGCACGCAGGCGGUCGUGCGCGUGGGGUGUGAAAUCUGGCCGCUUAACGGCCAGGCGCCAUCCCAUACGGCACGACUGGAGGGCUGCAGAGGUCGAUGGAAUUGCCGGUGUAGUGGUGAAAUGCGUAGAGAUCGGCAGGAACACCCAGGGGGAACCGAGUCGACUGGGCAGCACCUGA
rnacentral:rRNA from 1 species